AUUGAACGCUGGCGGCAUGCCUUACACAUGCAAGUCGAACGGUAACGCGGGGCAACCUGGCGACGAGUGGCGAACGGGUGAGUAAUGCAUCGGAACGUGCCCAGUAGUGGGGGAUAGCCCGGCGAAAGCCGGAUUAAUACCGCAUACGACCUACGGGUGAAAGCGGGGGACCGUAAGGCCUCGCGCUAUUGGAGCGGCCGAUGUCAGAUUAGGUAGUUGGUGGGGUAAAAGCCUACCAAGCCAACGAUCUGUAGCUGGUCUGAGAGGACGACCAGCCACACUGGGACUGAGACACGGCCCAGACUCCUACGGGAGGCAGCAGUGGGGAAUUUUGGACAAUGGGCGCAAGCCUGAUCCAGCCAUGCCGCGUGCGGGAAGAAGGCCUUCGGGUUGUAAACCGCUUUUGUCAGGGAAGAAACGCUCUGGGUUAAUACCUCGGGGUAAUGACGGUACCUGAAGAAUAAGCACCGGCUAACUACGUG
rnacentral:rRNA from 1 species